rnacentral:misc_RNA from 1 species
UCUCCGUAGGUGAACCAGCGGAAGGAUCAUUAACGAGUUGGGGUACUCUAAGCCAUACUUAACAUCCCUAUGCGUAUUUAACCUCUGUUGCUUCGGCGGACCCCCCUCACGCCCGCCCGAGGCCCGCUGCAAGCCGCCCUCUGGCCAGCAGCCGGCGACGGCCAACCACCUAAACCCUGUAUGAAUCGUGUCAUAUGUCUAAGACAACUAUCAACUUAAAGCAAAAUUUUCAACAACGGAACUCAUGACUCUGGCAUCCAGGAAGAACGCAGCAGAACC